UACGUAGGUGGCAAGCGUUGUCCGGAAUUAUUGGGCGUAAAGCGCACGUAGGCGGAUCUUUUAAGUCAGGGGUGAAAUCCCGAGGCUCAACCUCGGAACUGCCCUUGAUACUGGGGAUCUCGAGUCCGGGAGAGGUGAGUGGAACUGCGAGUGUAGCGGUGAAAUGCGCAGAUAUCAGGAGGAACACCGGUGGCGAAGGCGGAUCUCUGGGCAGUAACUGACGCUGAGGAGCGAAAGCGUGGGGAGCGAACAGG
rnacentral:rRNA from 1 species